rnacentral:lncRNA from 1 species
UGAAAAGGCUCAGAUCAACAUUGUGGUGGUUGGUCAUGUGGACCCUGAGGAGGCAACCACCAUUAACGAGCUGAAGAAGCCUGUUGUGGAGAAAGAAGCUCCAGGGCAUGCCAUAUGAGGGCAUGCACGCACGGCCUCGGAGGGGAACCAGAAAAUUAUGUUAACAAAAUAAUCUGGAACCCUAAUGUAUCAGUGUCAUCAUCAGUGUGUAGUUUAAGCUAGCUUUGCUAUGGUUACGUUCUCUGAGAUGAGAGUCUUGAUGAACAGUGCCAUUCUGAUGUAUUGCUUUCCUUGAAAGUUAAUGCAUGCUUCUUAUCUUCUGUCUAUAGCUAUAUGCUUUCUUUUUCUUUUUCUUUUUUGUUAAUCAGAACAUUUGCAACUUCACUCCUUAGUAUAUAAUAGUUAUCCAUACAAAAAGAAAUAUUAUUUAAGGACAUACUGAAACAUAAAUAUUACACUUUUUAGCAUCCAUAAAAAAAAAUUGAACGAGGAGGGUUAAAAAUAUAUUUUUAACAUUUUUUUAAUAUAUUCUUUGUUAUUGAUUGAAUUUAAAAAAAAUAUAAAAUUAGCUAGAGAGAAAAUUAUUAAAUAAAAUAUAACCUUAAAAAUUUAUAAUAUUUAAUAAAUUUUAAUCAAUUAAAAAGAACACUCCUCCAGACUUAAGAUUUUGUAUGGAUUAAUUCACUAGUAAGUACAUCAUUAAGAUUCAUUCGAUUCAAUGCAGCGGACAAGGGAAAUAAAAGAAAAUACUAUAUGUGGGUUUUUUUACUACAAGAAAUAUUAUCUAUGUCUACGGACAAAAACCAUCACUAGAUGUUAAAAAUGUGUAGGUAAAUAUAAUAAAAAUUUUGUCCUACAGACAUUGUGGUCGUCAACUUUGAGGGGACGCAUGUGACACCCUCUAUCCCUCACAUAUAUACUAACAAAGGAAUAAAAAUUCAAAUAUUAAUUAAAAGUAUUUUUUUUGAACAUUUUUAAAUACGGGUCUUUCAAAGGGAUAAAAGGUUCACAAUCACUUUCUUCUACAUCAUAUUCAAACUUGUCCAAAUAAAUAAUAAAGUCAUCGGCUCGAACAAGGUCGUUUGAGACUUCAUACAAUUAAUAUAAAACCCUAUACCCCAAUGUCACAUCCUAUCAGAGCGUUGUGUCUCGACGUCUUUCAGCACAAUAUUCCUUAAAGCAGUUUACCUAGUCAUCUGCUCCCCCGAACACAGAGUUCAAGAUCAUCACAGGAUCCAAACACAAACAACAAACCGGGAGUGAGUUAUCACAUUCCUAACUAAUAGAGAAACAAGACAACUAGAUAUACAUAUCAUAUAAACCAAAUAAAACUUACUUACACGUAAUUCACGUAAUUCCAUCACUUUGUCAUUCAAAAUUCAUUUUUCAUCAAUCAAUCACAUUUUUCAAUCAUCAAUCACAUUACACAGGAAUCACACGCUCUGAUCAAGACAUAAUAACACCUCAAUUUCAUAAUAAACAAUUAGCAAGCGCAUGAGACAGUUAUGCUAAGACUCAAGCCUAUAUGCAAUGUGGUACCAUGUCAGUGAAAAACCACCCUGGGGCGCUUAGGAGUACAUAACAAGACACACCACACAAUGGGUUUGUCAGGUCACUCUCACUAAGUAAGAUCAUAGGGAGACCAGUCAGGGUCAUGAUGUUUUGCGAGAAUGCUUCAACCAUACGGGAUCAGCAUAGGCUUAAAGGAGCACUCAAACUCGGUGACCCCUAAGGCCUACACUCCGAAGAGUCCGUCAGGGCCUCUCCCUCCUGAUUCAGGUCUAACCCCUAAAAUCAUUUUAGCACACAGACACUGCUCGUGAAUUAUACAAUACCAACGACCUCACACUCGUGUUUUAAACACGUACAACAUAUUGCGCUACAAUUUAACACUAGUUCCUAAAUAGGAAACCUACACUUUCUCUUUAACACUGCGCAUUUACACUUUUAUCAAAAUAACACUGGUCGGGUUAUUGUACAAUUCACGGCUUACAACACAAAUAAUGUCACAUCAAGAGUUAAUCACACACUUAUUUACAACCAAAACUCAUUCACAAUUUCACAUCUCAUAAUGUCACAAUCCACCAUCACAUGUUUUCACGUAUCUCACAAUUCAACAUCUGCUCUACUUUACACUUUUACUCAAUCUCAAUAACAAUAUUAUAAUCUCAAGGCAACAUAUUAUUCCACAAUUUAUCACAUAUUUCAUUUAUAAGCACUGCUCAUGAAUUAUACAAUACCUCCGACCUUACACUCGUGUUUCAAACACGUUUAACACAUUGCACUACAAUUUAACACUGGUUCAUAAAUAGGAAACCUACAUUUUCUUUUAAACACUGCGCAUUAACGUUUUUCUCAAGAUAACACUGGUCGGGUUAUUGUAUAAUUCAUAGCUCAUAAUAUAAUUAUUGUCACAUCAAGCGUCAAACACACACUUAUUCACAAUCAAAUAUCAUGCCCACAAUUUAACAUCUCAUAAUAUCACAUCAAUCAUCUCAUUUUUACAUGUAUCUCGCAAAUUGACACAUUCAACUUUGUACUACUCAAUCUUCACUAUAAUAUUAUAAUACCAUUAUAAUAACUUAUUACACCUUAUAACUCAUGCACAUCACACAAUAAUAAUAUUUGCAUGAUACAAAACAUAUAUAUGCAUAUGUAUAUAGUAAAUUAAACUACAUUGUUUUUUUAUCAAAGGAUUUCUAUAACAAUUAAUUUAAUAUUACAUCAAAAGAAAUUACCAUUAGACAUUAACCUUACAAUUUUCUUUAAUUUAUUAUUCUAGUAUUACAAUAAUUAUAUACAUAUAACAUGUUGAUCAUCGUCGAAGAAAAAUUAGAACAAGAUAAUAAUUUAUAUAAAAUAAGUCAUUGAAUAAUAUUAUUUAUAAUAUAAUUUACGUUAAUAAGAAGAGCUUAAUUUUUCGAAGGGGUUCACAUUCAACACAAAAAUACAUCAAUUUCAUAGCAAUUUCUCAUUGGGACAUCAACUGAUUCAUCAAACAUAUAUAAUUCACUGUAAUAAUUAAAAGGAUAAAAUGAAAAUUGCAAAAAUACCCCAAAACUGAUUCCAAUUGAUAUCUCUAAGGAUCCAUACACAUGUUUUCACUAAUCCCCAAUUGUGAAUAACUCAUCCCUUACCUCUGAGCGGACUCACGUGUCUCAGCCAACGAUAGUAACAUCUCUAGCGGUUCCCUGAGAUUCUUUCAGUUAUUCCUCCGACUGCUCCGAUAGAAUUCCCAAACGUCGGAGAGACGGAGAAGAGAUUGAAACCUCCACUUGUACUGUCUUUAUGCGAUUCCUUUUUCUCCCUCCACAAAUGUUAUCUCAAAAAUCCCAACGGUGCAAGUGUGCGCAAUUAAAUUUCGAACAACAUGUCCAAAUUUCAUGAAAAUCCAACGGUUAACGAAAUCGGGAUCGUAGUUUUACCGAGACAGUUUUGGGUUUCUGCAGGAAAUUAAAAUGCUACAAUGCGAAGGGUUUUCCUCUAAGCUCAUAUAUGAUUUUGAAAUUCCCAACGGUGAGAAUGUUCGAAAUUGGGUUGCGAACGUGGUACUCAAAUUUCACGACGAUCCAACGGUGAACGAGUCCGAGAUCGUCGUUUUUCUGAGACAGGUUUGGUGGACUGCAGGAAAAAGAAGAGGUUUUGAGAGGAGAAGGGGAAAAACGAAAAUGAGGCCAAAAAGAGGCACCUGACUUAACAUAACUAUUUAUACCUAAGGUACUCAGCCUAUUAUUUGCUCUAUAUUUAUUUAUUUUAUAAAAACAAACUCUAUUUUAUUUUCUAUCAAACAAAUAAAUGAAAUAUCAUUUUUAGUUUCUCUCAAAUCAUUAUUUUAAUUAAUAAUUAUAUCUCCUUAUUUAUUUAUUUAUAAAAUCUCAUCAUUUUUCUAAAACUCUAUUUAUUUAUAAAUAAAAAUCAUUUUUAAUCUAGAUUACAAAAAUUGGGAUGUUACAGCGCACAGUGAUAGAUUAUCGUCGGUCAGUGUAGGUUUUUACCUACUAAUUUACUUUCACCUACAAUUCACAAUGUGCGUAGCUAAAAGUCAUUAAUUUAUAUCUACAACCGCUGACUGUAGAUAAAAAUAUUAACUUGUACCUACAACUUCCAACUGUAGGUAAAAGUCAUUAACUUAUGCCUACCAUACAUUAAAAGACUAUAGAUAUAAACCAUUUAAUUGUACUAUGCCUACGGACAAAAAUAAAACAUAUAAACCAAGGAACAAGAAAGGUAGAAAGAAAAUAGUGGAUUGCAUACUUUCUGGAAGGUCUCUUCUUAGUUCAUUCAACUCUGCCUUGGCACUCAAUUGUUCAUUCAACUCUUCUUAGUGGAUUGUAUAUAAAUCAUAGAAUACAUAUUAUCAAUGACAUAUGAAUACAAAACUUGUAACCGGUCCAAUUAAGUUGGUACCUGAUAAAUAAUAUAUAUUGAAGUGCGCCUUAACACAGAUUCCUUUAAAGCAUUUAGAAAAAUAUGAACUGGCAUUGGAAUUGCAGGUUGAAUUGAGCCUGCUUAAUGAAGACAAAGAUGUGUCACAGCCUGGUAUGACUUAAAAGCUAGAACAAAGUUUCCAAACUAUGCUACAAUAAGUAAGGAACUAGAAUGUAUGGGAACUAGAAUGUAUGAGAACAGAAAUUAAAGUAUUUGUUAAAUAGCAGAAAUCAGAGGCAUAUGAAAAAAUGAAAAAUAAAAGUUACAUCCUCUAACAAAAGCUAAUACAAUGUUAAAUUACAUAUUAAGAACAUGUAGAAUAAAAUGGUAACACAUAAAUGACCAAAAAAUUUCGACCUGUAUCUAUAAGGUUUUCUCAACUACAAAGUUUAUCUUUAACGUAAUCAAUUAUAAAUUGUAGUUUUGCAUAUUAAAAAUUAUUUUAAUAGUCUACUAAGUAGAAAAGGAGUAAUACAGUAUACAUUUUCCUCGACAAAGCAAUUUCAUUAUUAUGUAGCAAUUUUAAUAAAAAUAUAAAUAUGCCUACAACUACUUCUUUAAAUUUCACCCUCUUUUCCUAGCCAUUGACCAUAUCCUUUAAACCAAGGACAAUAUGAAAACUAACUGAAUUACUAAUAUCAGAGUAGAUAAUAUUAUUUCUAGUGAAAAUCACAUUACACAAGCAUAAAGAUUAUACUGCAGGAGCAUAAAGAAAUUAUCCUCUUGAUCAAAAUGUUGUAAAAUGUAGCAUUGAAUAUAGUCAAAUAAAACCAGCUUUCCGGCCUCCAAAUAUCAAGCAAUUAAAGAAGGGAUUAAGGGGCAUGAAGUAGAAUUUCCAUUUCUUCAAAUAUCAAGCAAUUAAAAUGUUUCCUUUUCUGUUUCUUUAGUUCACGAUCGUCCUAAAAAGUAAAAAAAUCAUUGGGGAAGGGAAAAGGAAAGUAAAGCUCAGCAAGGGUAAAGGAACUAAAGGAUGCAAAGUUGCUACAUAAUAAUGAACGUCUGUCUAUGGGAAAUACUUACUAUCAGCAAAACGAAAAUGUUUUUCUUACCUAUUAAAAUAACCAUGAAAAUGAUAAAUGUUAACUAUGAAAAAAAAAUGUAAUAAAUGCUUUGAACAAUCUUUAAGAAAAACUAAUCAAGGAAUCAUACUUGUAUCCAUUGUUCACCAAGCGCGACUUCACGUCCCAUUAUGGUUGGAGGAGUAACAGCUUCUGAGGCAGAAGACUGAUUAUGUCUCAUUUUUGCAGCUUCGGCACCAGCAGGUCCCACAAGUCCAUUCCAAUAUUAAGACUAGUUGGAGACAUUGAGACAGCGGGAUUUCCAGGCACUGAAGAAUGAGGAAUGGUGCUCACAGAAUUCUUCCGUGCAUUGGCUCCUGAAAAGGUUCACACAAACACAAAAUUGUAUGACAAACCACGAAAAAAGAAAGAUAAUCAUGAAUGAUGUUGCAGCAUACCAUCAACAAGCAUUUGGUCAAAACUCCCUUUCUUGUUUGUAGCUGAUUCCUACAACGAAAUACAACUCAUGAGAUUGCAAGAAACAGAUCAAUCAGGAUAUGAAGGUGCCAGUGGUAUCGACAGUUAAUAUUUAAAAAAAAAUGAUUAGGACUUAAUAGGACUAGAAGAAAGAAAAAAAAAUGUGAAGAGAAAUAGUAACCUGAGUAGAAGAACUAGAAGAUGGUUUAGAAACUUUAGCUGUGCUUUCUUCAUCAGUUCCCAUUCAGAUCAGCUCAGAAAAACUGCCUUGAAAUCAGAUUAAUUUCUGAUAAUUGUUUAGGCCAUAUAUCACCUUCAACAAGUACGCAUGCCAGACAACGUACUGAAUAAAGAAACAUAAAAUUACAUGUCACUAAAAGCAUUCAGUACGUUUUAAGCUAUUUAUUCUCCGGAAAUAUGUAUUGCUAUAAUUAAACAUUUCUUUUACAACCAAACAAAUUAAUAUAAUCAAUGAAGGUCAAAACUGACCCUUCUCUUGAUGAGAUUUGAAUUAAGGAUCUAUAGCAUCUCACUAGCCGGUCCUUUACUCUAGAUAAUACUAAAGCAAUAACUCUUAAUCGGAAAGAUUGACACUCUUGGUCAUAAGAUGAAUAUCCUUACUUCAAACAUGGAAAAACUGGCAGAUUACCUAAACAACAAAACACAUAAAGUUAUCAAGUCUGAUAAUUCAACUUAGUUAUUGCUUGGGAUUGAUGUUUGAUGAUCAAACACAUUUCAACUUUUAUCUACCAGAAACUUAUUGCAAUAAACAAAUAGCAAAGAAAGGAAUUUUUUAACAGAAUGAAUUUUCAAAUAUAAAGUGAGAAGAUGAAGCAUUAUUUUCAAUUCUGGAAACUAAGUUCACUAACUUUUAUUAAUGAUUAAAGCAUUAAAAAUAUAAAAAAAAAAUUACAAAAUCUCAAUGACUUGUAAUAUUGAGCCUCACACGAAGUGGUUAUCCUUUAUAUAUAGUCGUUGAUUAGCAAAUAGACAAGAGAUAGCUUACCCGUAGCUAUAUUUUAUCAUGCAACACAUGGAAUUUUUAGAGUCCGAUUCACAAAAGGAUAAAGUGAAAAGAGACAAGGAGGCAAUGUAUUUAUGUUCAAGAAAAUUUUCUUAUUACAGAUGUAAAUAAAUUAGCCAUCAAUGUGAUGAAUAUAAGUUGUUUAUAAGAUCAUACAGGGGAUAGCGAUGCUGUAUAAGACUCAUCACUGUACCUUACGCCUUUUAAUGAACAUGAACACAGUCGAGAAGUGACUACAGCUUCUGGAAUGCCAAAAGUACUUCCGUGGUCUUGUAAGCUUUCACUACCAGCAGCUUUAGAUUCUGGCUUUUCACAAGUUGAUUUUAAGGCAACAUUCAAGCCAAUUGAGCUAGGUUCCGUCACAAAACUGUAAGCCAUAUGAAAAACAAAACACCAUUUAGGUUUGUAAAAAACUACGUAUGGUACAACUAGUUUUAACUGGAUAAUGUGCAGCAAAAAUUCAUAACAUCUCAGCAAACGUUCAUGAAAUUCUACUUAUUAGAUUGGAUAGAGAUCACUGUGACUCAGAACAAUUGACAAGUUACUAUGAGAAAUUCAGAAUAGGAAAGAGGAUUCAAAUGUUUUCUCAAACCAACAUGGCCUAAUUGUUCCUAAAAAAAUCCUAACAUAGUUUCAUUAGACAAGUUUUCUCAUUCACAUAUUAGAAAGCUUCGUUACAGAGCUCAGCCAUAAACAAUUUGGCUCCAAAAACCCACUAGCCAUAGGUCCACAUUAGAUCGCCACAACAAACCUCAAUCAUAGCAAUCAGGGCUCUGCUUGAUUUGUUUUCAAAACCAUGGUUCAUUACCAAGCAAUGUUCCUCUAAAGUUAAAUCCAUGUUACUUGAAUUUGAACGUAUUACCCAUAUUCUCACUCAGUUAAAUCUGCAAAGUGCAGACAAAAAAACAUUAGUCAGCAGCACAUGAUUGAAAAUAUGAGUAAACAUCAAAUAAGUCUGAUUUAAUUUAGGCUAAUGAAAGUGACCGAUGACCUUCCUAAAAGCAUUGUUUAGCUUAUUUCAUAGUCAAGCUUAAAAAAAAAACUUCGUACCCCAUUGCCCAGAGGCUCUUCGCUAUGCGAAGGUAUGGGGGAGGGAUAUUGUACGCAGCCUUACCCUUGCAUAUGCAAAGAGGCUGUUUCCGGAUUCGAACCCAUGACCAACAAGUCACCAAGGCACAACUUUACCGCUGCACCAGGGCUCGCAUUGUCAAAAUAAUAUUUUUUUUUCAGUAAACUUCACACUCAAGUUUACAAAUAAGCUCUCAUUUUAUAAGAACUUACAGAAUAAAUGCUUAGUUAACUUGUUUACCAAAACAUGCCAAAGUCUCAAUUAAAAAACCUGGAAAGGAAGCUAUAAAGAAUUUAGAAGGUCAGUCACCUGUAAUUUAGUAAAAAGUCAUAUAAAGCAUGUACAUUGUUGUUGCCACUAAAAGCCAGCAAAGAUUCUGGGCUAUUAUCAACAUCAUAGAAUGACCUUAAUCGCCGAGUCUGUGUUAUUUCAAAUAGCAAGCACCAAUUAAAUAUAAAUUAUACAUAGAGAAGAAAAAAAUAACACUGGAAUUAAUUGAUAGACAAACUCACAGAACACCAUAAUACGCACAAAAAGGACAGCCAACUAUUAACAUGAAGUGCAAGACAAUAACUAAUUUGAUUCUAAAUGGAAAGAAAGAAAUUACUAUUUGAUUCUAAAAUUGAAACUGUGCUAUGACUACAUGUGGAUUGGGAGGCAUCAGAAUACAAACUCCAUUUCAAUUUAAAUGAGAAAUGAGCAUAUGCAAUACUACAUGACAAAUAAUAAAGAAGCAACUCAUCACAAACAAUAAGUCUGCAUAGUUUACUCCCAAAUCAUAAUCCUAGGGAAUAUUUUACUUCAAGGCAACCAUUUAUACAUUAUCUUCAAGGCAAAAACACCUUGAGAGCAUGCACCUAGUCAAGCAAAAAGCACAUAUGGCAACCAAUCCUCGGACCAGUAAAAAUGAAAUUAAAUGUCACAACUCACAAAUGUAUAAUAAUAAAAUCAAUAAUGAACUAUGAUAACCGAAACAUCUUCAAUAUAAUCACACAGAUUGAAUGCUAAAUUGAGGUCAAGAGUUUGGUAACUUACCCUAAGUUCUGACGGUGUCUUCUUUCUAGCCAUAGAUCCAGUUUUCAAAGGUCCGGAGCCAAGUUGGUGAGAGCUCGAGGGCACAGAACUUGGUUUAGCCACUUUCGCCAUGCCUCGUUUCGCCGCGCGUACUUUACCAAUCAAAACACGUCAUCGACAAUAAUCUGCAAGUGCAGAUUCCGUAAGCGAGAAAGGAUUUACAGUAGAAUUCACAAAUUGCACAAUUAGAGAACACGAUAAGUGUGCUACUAAUUAUGAGCGCAAGGGAAUGUAGAUUAACGGCUUAUGUUUUGAAAAUUAGAAUAGAAUAAAUGCGAAUCGGAAGCAGGAGGGAAAGAGAAGAGACCGAAUCGUGUCGUGGAAGAUUCAAUGGCGAGCGGUGUCGUAUCGGUUUUCGGCGCAGCAGAGGGAGAGGGAAGAGAGCGAAAAUGGGAGCGGGCCCCCCUUCUCCGGCCUCCGCCGUGCCACCAACUCCUUCUACACGCGAUAAAACUAAUGUUUUGUUGAUAUUAAUUCUUUAAUUAAUAAAUUUUUAAGAAUAUUUUUAUUAAAAUAAGAAAUAAAUAUAUAAUUAUUUUAAUAAAAAAUCAUCAUUCUGAUUACAUAUAAAAUUAUUCUUGAAAACUUAUGUUAACGUUCUAUUAAAUUAGAGUGUAUUCUUGAUUAAAUGGUCAAGCUGAGUUGGUGAAAUAUGUUAAGGAGAUUGUUGUAAAUUAAUUGUUACUUGAGUUGGAUUCUAAUGAGUAUAAAAAAAAUCAUUUUAUGUAUAUUUACGAUUCCAUCGAAAAAUUAAUCGAAAUUAUUUUGUACCAAUAUCUUUUUCUUUUGCUGAAUUUUCCCGUGUGAAUUUUUUCCAAUUUGCACCAAUAUCAUCAGAAGAAGAAAAAAGUCAUUUCUUUUAAUUUUUAUAUAAAAUAAAAAUUAAAGAUUAAAAAAACGUAAUCUAUAUAAUCUUUAAUUUAAGUGCCUGCUUUUGCGCAUAACUCCUACAUGGAGAAUGUUACUGUUAAUGAUUCUUCAAUGAAUAAUUUGAUUAAUUUCUAAUCUGUAUCUAGGGCGCGUUGCCCAACCCUAUCAGAAAAAUAAACACUUUAAUUUGAAACUUUACUUUUUUUAAUGAUAUAAAUCUUUAAGAAACAACUGGUUCCGAUAUAUUUUCUUACAUAACAAAUAUUAUUUUAAAAAUUGAAAAAUUAUCAUUAUAAUAUAUUUAUUUUCCUUUUUAUUACAUUUUUUAUUUUUUCAUUCUUAUUCUAUUAAUAUUUAUUAUUUUCAUUUAUAUGUAUUUUAAUUUAUUAUUAUUUUUUUACUGUUAUCUCUAUUUUAUAAUCAUUCGUACACGGUACACCCAAAAAUUACCAUAGUAAUUUUUCUUUUAUCAAGAUGCAGGUACUGUGUACACCCAAAAAAAAUAUGCAUUAUUGUACCUUUUAUAUCGAUUUGCAUUAUUGUACCUUUUAUCGAUUUGCAUUAUUGUACUGGUUCCGAUUCAUUUUUUUACGCAAUAUAAUUUUUCUUACAUAACAAAUAUUAUUUUAAAAAUUGAAAAAUUAUCAUUAUAAUAUAUUUAUUUUCCUUUUUAUUACAUUUUUUAUUUUUUCAUUCUUAUUCUAUUAAUAUUUAUUAUUUUCAUUUAUAUUUAUUUUAAUUUAUUAUUAUUUUUACUGUUAUCUCUAUUUUAUUAUCGCUCGCACACGGUACACCCAAAAAUAGGAUAAGAGUACCAUAAUUGGUAAUGGAGUGGAGCGGAGUGAAGUGGGUACUGUCUUCGCGAAUCUUUCACCCCGACUUUUUAACAUGUCUUCAUAAUCUGAUAUAAUAAGAUGGAUUAAAAUUUAUUAUUUCAUUUAUCCCCGACCCUGUCAUGUAUUCUAUUUAAAUUAGAAAAUUAUUUUUUUUAAAGAAAAUAUUAAAAAUUUGAUUUUAAAAAAAAUAAUUUGAUUGUUAAACAUUUAUUUUUAAUUAUUUAUAUGUCAAUAAAUUUACUAUAGCGCAUGUGCCUACAAAAAUCGUUAAAAAAAAUAUUAAAUUAUGUAAAAAAUUUAAAAUAAAAUUAACUAGUAAUAAAAAUUCUAGAUCUUUUGAUUAAAUUAUGCAAAAAUAUUAAAUAGUAGGACAGAUCUAGAUUCGGGAUUGGGGCGAAUAUAAUAAAUUCAUACCCAAUUCAUACCUAACUUUUGAUUAUAAAAAAACCUAAACUCAAAUCCAUAUUCGAUUAACUUAAAUAUUAUCCAUCAAAAUCGGAAUCAAACCAACAAGUACUAGUUUUUUUUGUCAUGUCAAUUAGUAGUUUUCCUUUUAAUAUUAGUAUGCAUUAUUGUACCUUUUAUCGAAAUGUAUUAUUAUAUUGAACCUUUUAUCAUAUCAAAGAUCUAGACAAAAUAAGUUACUCCAACUUGUCGGUUGAUGAUAACAUCAAUAUGCAUUAUUGCACUAUGAUUGAUUAUGUUUUUGUUAUUUUUUUUAGUAAAUAAUUAAAUUAGUCCUUAAGAUUGUCAUAUUAAUCAGUUCCAAAAAUAAAGUGAAACUCAAAUGAGUCUCAUAUUUUUUAAGAUAUUAGCUACAUCUCGAUUAUAAAAAAAAACAUAAUUUAUAUUUAUUAAAGAAAUUAGUUAAUUUUAUUAAAUUGAGUUAUUUUUAAUUAUUUUUUAAAUUACUUUUUAUUUAAACUUGAUAUUAACUAUAAAAAAUCUUUGAUUUUAUUAAAUGAAAAUUAUUUUAAAAAUAAUUUUAUUAAGUAAGAUUUUAAUAAUUAAAAUUUAUUUAUAUUAUAGAAAAAAAUAAGAAAAUUUUGUUGUUUAUAUUUGAGAUUUUGAGGGUGUAAGUCUCCAAAAAGUUCUUAUUUUUUGUUUUGGAUUCAUGUGAUAUUACUAUACUUAAAUUCGUAUAAAUUACGAAGUAAAAAUGAAGGCUAUAUUCGUAAAUACAAACUAUGAGUUGGUCUAUAAAUAACGUUCAAGUCCCUCUUCUUCGUCACACAGCUAUUCCUCUUAAGCUUGCUACUGAGUUUCCACACUGCAUACCUUAGGUUCAGUCUCUGACUAGCUUUUAAUUUUUCUCUUUACGAGUUUAUUAAUUAUUGUUGUUGUGAUUCAAAUAUCAUAAACCUCCACUCAAUUAAUAUUUUAAUUUUCACUUACCCUAAACACUUCAUCUCACUGUAAACCUUAUAUAAUUUACCCAAUUAAUAUUCAAGUUAAUUUUCAGUUUUAACUUACCUUAUACAAGCACUUGAUCUCAUUCUUUAGAUUCUCUUUGCAUCUGACUAGCCCUAUUUUGUGCCACUCUAGCUUGUUUCUAAUAUUCUUGGAGGUGUUGUAUUGUACAAAUUAAUUUUGCAUGCAGUAUAUGUAUAUAUAUUUCAUAUUUUUUUCUGAUUAUAUUAAUUUAUUUUGGACAGGUCUUCCGAAUUCGAAGUUAAUUUGCAAGAUGGCUAAGGAAAAGGCUCAGAUCAACAUUGUGGUGGUUGGUCAUGUGGACCCUGAGGAGGCAACCACCAUUAACGAGCUGAAGAAGCCUGUUGUGGAGAAAGAAGCUCCAGGGCAUGCCAUAUGAGGGCAUGCACGUACGGCCUCGGAGGGGAACCAGAAAAUUAUGUUAACAAAAUAAUCUGGAACCCUAAUGUAUCAGUGUCAUCAUCAGUGUGUAGUUUAAGCUAGCUUUGCUAUGGUUACGUUCUUUGAGAUGAGAGUCUUGAUGAACAGUACCAUUCUGAUGUAUUGCUUUCCUUGAAAGUUAAUGCAUGCUUCUUAUCUUCUGUCUAGCUAUAUGCUUUCUUUCUUUCUUCUUUUUUAUUUUGUUAACUAGAACAUUUGCAACUUCACUCCUUAGUAUAUAAUAGUUAUCCAUACAAAAAGAAAUAUUAUUUAAGGACAUACUGAAACAUAAAUAUUACACUUUUUAUCAUCCAUUAAAAAAAAUUGAACGAGGAGGGUUAAAAAUAUAUUUUUUAACAUAUUUUUUUAAUAUAUUCUUUGUUAUUGAUUGAAUUUAAAAAAAUAUAUAAAAUUAGCUAGAGAGAAAAUUAUUAAAUAAAAUAUAACAUUAAAAAAUAUAUAAUAUUUAAUAAAUUUUAAUCAAUUAAAAAGAAUAUUUCUCCAGACUUGGAUGCAUUAUUAAUAUUCAAGUUAAUUUUCACUCAUUUGUGACGCAUUACUGACUCUUUAAUUAGGGUAGAUUCAUCUUACUGUCUAGGAACAAACUGAUUUUUGAAUAUUAUCAAUUUUCUCUAGUAGAGGUUAUUAGCAAGAUUAAGUUUCUUUUAUAUAGACAAGUACACCUGUUACAUUUGUUUUAAUAUUUUGAUAUAGAUACAUUUGUUUUAGUAUUUUGAUAUAGAUCUUCUUGUAUUAGAAAGAUUUUUUAUUUUUUCUAGUUAAAAGGUAUAUCCCAUUUAUUAUUGUAUUAUUUUAAAUUUAAUAUAAUUUACAUUUAAAAAAAAAAAUGGGCGUGUGGGUAAGAUUUUGUAUAGAUUGGUUCACUACUACAUGAUUAAUAUUCCUUCCAUUAACGGAAAUAAAAGAAAGUACUAUAUGUAUAUGUGGGUCCUUUACAAUUUAUCGGUUUUGGGACCGAAAACAACAUAAAGAGUGCCUUUAAAUAAAUCCAAAAUUACUCGUCAUUCAGUAAGUCUCAAUAGUUUUAUAACUUAGACAUAUGCACACACGUGAAGCCCAAAGUGUCACAUUCUCCUUUGCCUUAUUGUCAUAUCCUCCUACACGCAAACAUAGACUAUUCUUCACAUUGUCGUCUUCUCUUCUCGUGGUGUCUUCCUUCAGAUGGUGUUAGACGAACGAAGGGAAUGGGAAUAGCCUCGGAAUUAAAAUUUUAAUAGAAGUCACAUAAAUACCACAUCAUCUAUAAAAAAAAAUUUCAAAAUAUAUUCUAAUUUAACUGUUGUUUCUGACUUAUAUAUUAUAAUUUUAAUUUAUUGUUAACCGAUGUAACACUUACAUUUUUCCAACAAUAUAUAUAUAUAUAUAUAUAUAUAUAUAUAUAUAUAUAUAUAUAUCAUUAAAAAAAUCAGUAACUUUUGGUUUCUAGAAAAGCUAGUAGAAGUGAAUUUUUUAAAAUAGAAAAAUGGAAUUUUUAGGAAUUUAGAGUAUACAAUUUUAAUUUAUUGAAAAAUUCAAUUUUAGAAAUUAAGAUUUUUAAGGGUAAUAAAACUUUAGUAAAUUGAAUAGUAGGAAUCUAAAGUAUGAAAAAAGUAGACGACUGAAGCAAUUAGCCCUUAGAUAUGUUACCGCGUGAUGGCAAUUCAAGUCCAUUUGCAUGACAUUAAACUUUCUCAAUUGUUAAAAUAUUUCAUUCCUAUUACCCAAAAAAAAAUUAUUUCAUUCCAAUCAAAUUAUGGUGUUCUAGCGUAACACAAUUUUAAACAUAUCUAAGCAAUUUUUUUAUAUAUAUAAUUAUGUUCUCGAUACAGAAUUUUCAUCAAUUUCACUUUUAAAAGAAUUUAUUUUUUAAAACAAUUUUUAUAUAUAAUUAAUUUUCUUCAAAAAAUUUGAUUAGUAAUUUUUAAUAGAAAUUUUCCUUUCAAAUAAGUUUUUUUUUCUUCUUUCAUUCAAGCAGUUGAUUUUGAAAUAUACUAUAUCCUAAUUAUUACUUUAAGAAUCUUGAGCAACUUAACUCAGCUAGAUGGCCAACUAAUUAACAAUUGUAGAUCAUUUAUGAUUUAUGAUGCUGGCAGCUUCUUCAUGUAACACGAAUAUAAGAAUUGCAUGUAGAUGGAAGCACUUGGCAGCUAGUAUUUUAUAACAUAUAUAUGCUUACCUCUUCUCUGUUAUUAGUGGUUGCACCACCGCUAGUCCUCCAUAAGACACACACCAUUCCGUGACCCCAUUUUUUGGUCCCUGUCUUAGGCACAACCAGACACCUGCCCCCUUCUAUUAAAUGGGGCAUUUCUUAAUUGCAGUCUCACUUAUAUGACAUAUGUCUCUUGGUGAGCAUCUUGAUUAGACUCAAUUAAUUAAUUGUCUCUCUUGUCAUCUAUUCCUUAUUCUAUAAGGAUAUUGCUUAGUCUUUUGGGUUAUAGUGAAAUCUUAAAAACCAAUACUUGACGGUUAAUGUUCUUAGAAGAUUGAAGCUCACCCGUAUGAACUUACUCAUUUGAUGUAACUUUUAUGCUUUGUUUACAUAAGAAGUGAAACAGAGAGGAAUGAAAUAAUUAAGAAGAAAAAAAAUUGGAGUGAUAAAAAUAAAAGAGAAAUGAAGUGAUAAAAAUUGGAAUGAAAUAAAAGUGUUGUUUGAAUAGAUAAAAAAUAAGAAAAAGUGAAGCAUUGUUUUUCAGAAUAAUGUUUAAAUGCUACCAAGUGGGACAAAUAAAAAGUUUAGACAUCAACUUCCUGCAAGCUAGAAGAUUAUUAACAUAGUAGUUCAAUUUCUUCAUUAUCAAAAGGUUUACAAUAAUUUACACAUUAUUUAUAAUAAUAGUUCAUCUAAGGAAAGGAAUUGGAACUGGUAAUUGAACCCUUAGGUUCCUCAACUCCAACAGAAAAAGACUCUGAGGACAGAGCAAGAAGAGGUGAUUGGUUUUCCCAAGCAGAAGAGGUAAAUUAGAAGUUAGAAGCAUGACUGCAUGAGGCGAAAAGAACGAGAGAAGAUUCUGAUGAAAAAGAGGAUAAAAUGUCCGAAUUAAACAAUUAGAGUGCAUUGAUUAAAUCAACAUGUACAGCUUCAUUUUUCCAUGACUAAUCACUGAUUAUAGCUUAUUCAGCUUCCAAACCGCUAUCCAAUUUCCACAUUAAUAUAAUCCAUAAUUCGGGACAGGAACAGUUCAAAGUCAACACUCAACAGAGUACAGGAUCUGAAAUUCCCGAGCAGCAACAAAAUAAUCAAGCACUCCUAUAUAAAAUAUUCAUAUAUCUUCGUGCAUCAAUUUAAAUUUUUUGGAAUUAUUAUUUUGUGACUUGCUCACAAAUCCUCUAUUACUAAGUUAUGUAGAGAUCAUCUUUCAUUUACAGCUUGCAUUAUUCACUACUGCACUCUUUAGUCUUUAAGCCCAAAACAAUCAGCAAAAAAAGUCUUUAAUGCAACUAUUUGGCAUAGGGUCAGCACAAGGAUAAGGCGACCCAAGCUCUUGUUUUAGUAUAUGUAUUUAAGCAUAUGCCCGAUCAAGGGUCACGGUCCAAUGGUAACGUGCUAUGUGUGAGAUCCUUUGUUUAAUCCUACAUGUGCGCGGAAUCCCUUCGUCUAAUAAAUGAUUUUGAGUCCAAAAAAUAAUCUUAAAUAAAAUAUGAAUAAUUUUAUUAAAUAUUUUAUUAGUUUAGAAAUAACUCCAUUCUGAAACUCGUUUUAGGCCUUCCAAUAUGUUGGAUCAGCCUGAUGUGCAUCAGGCAUUACAUCAAUAUCAGCUAAUUGCAACUCUGUUUCUGAGUAAUACAACAGCAUUUUCACAUUAAAAUAAAAAAUAAAAAAACUGCAACUAUUUUGGGUGUCUCAAAAUUCAUGAACUAGAUAUUUCUACAACAUUUUGUUUCCAUAAUCUCUUAGGCAGAACAUGUGUAUUUCCUACUGCUAUUUGAAGCAUUUAGCUUCAAAAAAAACAUUAGCGGAUGUUCCAUUACAAUAUGGAUGCUUGAAAGAGACUUUAGUGACUGCAAAUAUUUCGAGCGUAUCUGUGUGCUAGCUGCAAAAUUUCGGAAUUUGGAUCAUCACUAUAGAAAUGGUGCUAUUGAACUGUCUCAUUCAAUUAUAAUGAUGGCUGAAUGGCUUAUGCUUUUAAAAUAAAAAAUCUCAUUUAUUGUUUGGUUCAUUAACAAUCUCUUUUUUUUUGUACAGGAAGGAAAAAUUAAGAGACAAGGUCAGCCCAGAUUGCCUAAGUCAAACAGAAAAAAAUCUAAAACAAAAAGCAGGAACAACUAUAAACUCAUAAUUAAUCGACUUAUUGAAUUAUCAGCCAAUCAAAUUAUGAGUAACAUAUGAAUUUAUUGUUUUUUUACCUACAAGGAAGCCCAAGAAGCCAAAAAUAAAAAUCUAAUAUCAACAUGAGGUGACAUGAUUAUUAACCUUAUCUCUUAAUAUGUGAUCAGAAAUUUGAUUGAGCAUAUUAAAAAAUAUAUGUAUAGAGAAGUUAUCCCAGCCAAGCGUAACCUAAGACAGCAAACUGCCACACAUGUCAGACAGUUAUAAAGAGACAUAUGUAUAAGAAACUAGCCCAUGUGGGAGUUAUCUAAAGAGUGUUGCAAUGGUUUACUUGAAUCUACUCCUACAAAUAAUAUUGAGAAAGACGUGAAACUGAAAUUCCAAAGUGCAUUUAACUUUGUCCUUGCUCAAGAUACACAUCAUUGAUGAGAUAGAAAAAUAUGUACAAUAUAUAAUCUCAGAUUCAAACACAACCAAUUAAUGAUGAACUUUUGGAUUUUCAGGCUUGGUAUAUCUUCCAAUGGUUGAUUGGGAGACAAUUAAUUCCAAUCUUCUCCAACUAGAUUUACACCAGAAGUAGUAGUCAAGUUAACUCUGUUAAAAAGGCUAAAUUGAAGCACAAGAAACAUAGGUAUUGGGAAAUGCCCCAUUGAAGCCGGCCACUAGCAUUCCAGAUUCGACUACAUGCCUACAUCUUUAACUUCUUUUGAUAACUUGUUUGUGAUUAUUCAUAAAAUGUAUCCUUUGGUGUCUUGCCACUAUAGUUUCUCGUUGUCCUUAGGACCUUAAUUCAGGAGGAACUCUCUCUUCACUUCGUAUAUGUCACGUCAAUGGCGGUAUCCAAAUACUGGGCUUCAAGAUAAAUCAUAACCCCUUAUAUAUUUCUUUUAGUUCCUUCUGCACUCCUAUCUUCUAUGUGUAUUUGAUUCUGUUUCUCAGGGCUAAACAAAAGGUUGACUGAAUAUAUAAGGAUAUAUAGGAAUUUGACAAUAUCUUUUUUAAUGUAAACUUCAAUGAAUAGCCCCUAUCAAAGGUACUAUAGUAUUAUCAUAAUUAUUAUAAUUUCUAUAUUUAGUAGUUAUUAUAUUUUCAUGUGUCCGCUACUUGGUCUAAUAUUACAGGGAUAUGAUUCAAUUCUAGCUGAAAUUCCUGAUUCACAAAAAUUAUGUUGUUCUUCCUUCUCAUAAAGUAUGUAGCUAGAUGUGCCCAAAGGGACCGGUUUUUUCACUGAUUACAACACAAUUUUAUCACAAUUAUACAAGUGUAACACUAAUGUACAAUCUGAAAGUUUAUCAGAUUGUAUAGUAGUGGUAAACUUGAAAAGUGAUUAGAAUUUAGCUUCAUUGAUGAGUAUUUGAAGUCUGAAAAAAUUUUAAUUUGAGUUUUCAGGUGAAGGCAUUCAUAGGAUUGCUUGUAAUAUACAGAACUUGUGAGUACUUGACAGAGGAAGUGAUUUACAUACACCAAUAUACUUGUCCCUUGUCCUUCAAAUGAAUCAUAUAGGACGAUCUAAGUUACAUUACAUACAAUGAUCUUUAAUCUUUAUCAAAAUAUGAUUGUCUUAUACUUUAUCUGUUAUCAUUAGUACUAAAGGAUGAAUCGUUUUAGACUUGAUAUUAUUUUUUAAAAAUGCAACUAAAUAUAGUAACCGAGUUAGUAGCUAUAUUUAUUGGUCUAUAAUGUAGUCUGUCCAAAAAGAAGUUACCAAGAUGUUAACAAUGACUUUUAUCUCAAAAAAAAUAAAUGACUUAUUGGAUGCUAUUAGAAACUGGUGUUUAAAUUCAGUUGCUAAACAUGUUACCGACUGAAAUUAUUGCAACUCUCGGAAGUUCAAUCAGUAAGCCGAUUAUCUACCAAAUUUAAAUUCGUAGUAAUAAAACAUUUCAGUAGCUAAAUGAUUUUUUUUUCUUAAAUGCAAUUUUGUUCUUUCCAUUUUUAAAAAACAUGUAAUUUUUAUUUUUCUAUUUUAGAAUAGACAUUUAAUUAUCUGGUUUUAUAAUCCAUAAUUUUGAUUAUUCUAUCAAAUUCAAAAAACAUUGAUGGGUAAAAAAUAUUAACUUGAUAUGAUCUUAAUGUGACAUAAAAUAAUUUGUUUCUCUCCUAGUAUUUAACAUUUUUAGUUUGAAAGAAGGAUAAAUAUCAUAGAUUUUAUAAAAGUAUGGGAUUAAAUAUCUUUAUUUUAAAAUAGAAAAUUAAAAAUGUGAAUUUUAAAUAUUAGAGAGAUUAAAUGUGUUUAUUUUAAAAUAGGAAAUUAAAAUUAUAAAUUUUAAAAAAGAGAGGAAACAAAAUUGUAUUUAAACUUUUUUUAAAUGGGUGUUGCUCAAAAGAGUCCCCGUAAUAUAUUUUCUCCACAAAUAGACAUGCAAACAGUGAUAAUGAAUCCUGCAAAUGGGAAUUAAUUAAAAGAAAAAGUGAUUGUUGCCAUAAAGCGAAUGAAAUUCAUUUGACGAAGCCUAUGGACCCAGAUGUAAAGUACUAAGAGCGAAGCUAGUAUAAUGUAAAGAGGAAAAAGACAUGCCAGAAUUGUGUGAAACUAGGAAUGGUAUAUUAUCUAUUUUAUAGUAACCAGGUAAGUUGAAAAGGAAAUGAUUUCAUUUACACCUAGAAACUACUCUCUAGUCUAUAUAUAAUGGCUUUAACAACAUUAAAAAACAUUAUUAAAAAAAAAAAGAAAAAGACGAAGGCGGUUUUGCAAAUGCACGUGUAUAUGUUGAGAACCAUAAAACCAAGAUCAGAACAUAGAUUUGGUUGGCAAUAACAUAUAGUGGGGGAGUAAGUGGGAAGUUAUAUGGCUAAAAAUUAUCCAUGGUCUUUAUAACAUUGAAAACUGGCUUUUCCUGACUUAGUAGUUAUAUAUGAUGAAAGUGAUUGCCAUGAUCGCUAAGAUUUUGGAAUAACAAUGAUGCUUUGUUUUUGCGCCAAAUCAAUUUGUCUUUUACAUUAUAGUAUAGGGAAAUGUCAAACAUGCUUUACAUAUGCAUCAUCGUCCCAGAUAGUGUGGUUUCUAAAAGGCACUUUGAUGAACGAAAAUGACAACAUAUGAACAAUUUUUUGUCGUGAGGGACAAUAACCAAUACAGCAGAUGACAAUUAUUUCGUAAAUUUAAAUUAUUUAAUGCAGAGUAUAAGGGAAUUUAUCUAAAUGUAAAUUCUUUUCAUAAAAUUACAAUGAAACUAUGGUGUAAUUCAAUAGUAUAUUCGGAAAUCUCUGUACCAAAAAAUUAAAGUUUAUAUGACUGUGACCUUGGAUUUAUAAAAUUACAUGUUUUAGAUAUUGAAUGGGUUUGUUUAAAUUUUUUUUAAAAUAAUUAAAAUAAGUGUUUUUUAAAAAAUGUUUUUCUAAUAAGCAAAUCAAACAGAAAUUUUUUUAUUUUAAAUAAAAGCAAUUUAGACAAACACUGAAAAUAAAUAAUUACUUAUUUUAUUAAAAUAAAAAAAUUCUUAACAAAUAAAUUUAAACAAAUCAAUCCACUAUUACUUCAAAUUAAUUGCAUAAGUACAGAUAAAAAAUAAUUAACCAAGUUAAUGGGCGAACUUUUUGGGUAAGAAGAUAUAAAUUAACAAAGAUGAAGAUAUGAUAAAUUUAUAUUAUUGAUCAAACCUUAUAAUAUUAGUAUUACAACAUAUUUUCAAUAUUUCAAAUCAAACUUUCAAGCCAAACUUAUGUGUUAGUUUCUGCAAGUUUUGAUAAGAACAAUUUGAAACAUAAAUUUAAGUUGAAAACUCGUUUGUAACCUUGUAAACGAGAUCGAUCUCACUUUCCAAAGCAGCAAAAGUAAAAGGAAGGGAGAGGAUGAAUUGGCAUUAAGUUGAAAUCAUCUGAUGAAUUCCGAUCCAAACACGUAUUCCUAAAAUAUCUUUGUCAAACAAAGUUUCAACUGUAGCAUCAUGAUCAAUUCGACGCAGGUUUGAUUCACUUUAAUUAAGGGUUUCUAUCUACCACACUCUAAGAUUAUAAGCAACAUUAAUACACUGUGACAAAAUAUUAAAAUUUAUAUGAAAUUAUUUAACACUAAAUCAUUUGACACUCCUGAAAGAGUGACUUAACGAACUUAAUUAUAGCUUGAAUGAUAUUUAUAUAUUUAUCAAAAAUUUGUGAGUCUAAACAUUUUACACUACUCAUAAUAACUUUCUUAUAUAUAUAUUCUUUUAUUUACCUAAACUUGUUUUCCAAUAUUACAAAAUAAGUACAAAAUUUACAAAUGCAAGAGACAGGGAGAGAGUACUAAACAUUGCAAAAUUAUACGUAGUCUAUGUUAAGAUUUUCCAUUUAAUUAGGCAUAGAGCAACUUUAAAGCUUUAUGGCUAGCUAGCUCUAGCAACAUCUAUCAUACAUACACACCAUUCAUUUUUUUUUUCAUAUAAUAUAAUUAUAGAUAGUAAUACUUAAUAUCACAAUACCAAGACGAGGCACACAUAGCUAGCUAUAUAGGUCCGUGUUAAUACAUUUACCCAUGGUUGGAUUUUCCCCUAGAUGAUGAUGGUAACUUAUUAUUAUUGUCAUCACCACCAUUUCUGUCACCAGAGUUUCCCGAACCACUUCCAGACCCAUAACCACCAGCCCGAGUACCACCACCACCGGAUCCAUAGCCGUACCCGGAUCCUGACCCGGAUCCAGAUCCAAAACCAUAGCCAUAGCCUCUAGCAAAACCCGUCGGAGACCUACCCGAACCAUACCCAUACCCAUACCCAGUGCCGGGUCCGGAGCCCCAUCCCCAGCUGUAGUUCCAGUUUGCACCAUGGCCGGUGCCAGUGGCCCCCGUGGGGGUUCCGGUCGAUGGUGCACCGCCGUUUGACAUGUCAAAACGAAGCUGCCUUCUGGCGCCUCCGGCUGCCGCUGUGGUGGAAGUGAUCAAGAAGAAAAGAAAGAGAGCCAAGUGUUUGAAAGUGUAAUUGUAUGAUAGCAUUUUUGUGUUUGUCGUGUGAGAUAUGAUGAUAUUAUUACGAUAGUGUUUUUUUUUUUUUUUUUGGGAAAUGCUGUAGUUGGAGUAGAGAAUAAGUAGGAUUGUGUGAUUCUUGUGAGGUUUGACGCGGGAGUGCAAUGCAUAGUGCAUGAAAGUGGCUUAUAUAAUGGGGUUGGAAGAUGAUGAAUGAUGAUAAAUGAGCUAUGAGUCAUAACAACCGGUGAUCUUGAGUUAGUGCAGAGUUCACUUUUUAUUUUAAUUUGCAUUCUACUUUAUAUUCCAGACAAAGGAAUUUUUUUCCUUUUUAUUUAUAAAAGUUAGUUAAUCUCUUUGAUUAUGUUUAAAAUAUUUAUAAUUUUUAGUAUAUUCAUUAUCUUUUUUGUUAUUAUUUUUUAUAUAUUUUAUGUAAUUUUUAACUGUUUAAAUGUAAAAUAAUCAAACACAACAAAAAUAAUAAUAAAUAUUUUAAUGUAUCUUACAUUUUUAAUUAGCUGAUGGUGUGAAAAUAUUGUGCUGAUCUAUACUAAAAAAAAUUCAUAAGUCAUAGUAACUAAUUUGUGCUUGAGAGGUGAGUUAUUGAAUCUGCUUGGAAGCACUAUAGAUAGUUCAACGUGACCAGAUUUCCACCACUGACUUUCUGGUAAUUGAUGAGCCCUAAAUACAAGUUGUCACGUUGGCCUUUUAUAGUUUCUGGGAAAAACUACGAGAUCUUUUCCAGGAUUUUCAAUGGUUAAUGUACUUGUAAUUUGAUUUUUCAGUGAAAAUUCGAUUGAAAAUUGCUCAAUUCCAAUAACUUUAGGGCCAAGCUUGAUUCGACACUUGUAAAUUUACUAAUAUAACUUUUAUUAAAUACAGCUCUACGGCUUGGUUAUGGCCUAAUAUUUGGUGGUUUUUUGUCAAGUUGUAAUAAGUUUCUCUCUUACGUGUGUGAUUUCCAUAAAGUUUAUUAAACUCGUUAAUAUUAGGCUAUUAUUAUUAUUAUUAUUUAGUUCAUACAUAAUAUGAUUUUUUGACCAAAAAUAAUACCAUUCUAUAUAAGGUUGCCGGUGUUUGGUGGUCUAUAGUCUAUACUCUAUAGCCUAUAGAGAUGUUUAUAGUUGGGCCGAUCGAAUUCUUCAAAUUUAUUGAGCUUCUAUUGGGUCGGAUAUAAUUAGUCCAGCCAGAAGAAUGAUAGUAAUGUGAUAAAAUAUUCAAGUCUAUUUUUCUAUAAUAAAAAAAUAGUGCUUAACAAACGAAUUGGAAUAAAAUGAUUCAAUAAAGUAUGAAUUAAUUUUUAUAUCAUAUGAAACUUCACAAAGUUGACCUACUUUUUGAGAAUUUUAACGGCUAAAUUAAUAAAAUAUACUUUAUAUGUAAGUUUUACUUUUAUUUUCAAGAUGCAUUUGAUAUUUUUCAUUUGGUAGACUAUUUUUCCUACAAUCGUUCGAGAGUCAAACAUAUUAAUGUAUGUUUUUUGUAAAAUUAAUCAAAGAAAACAAAGUAAAAAUAAUUAAAAAUAUAUAUUAUGACUCUUUGUACAGCAACAUUUAUGAAUCAAAAGUAUCAUGAUUGUCCUUAUGAAGUUAUGAUAUUAGUUAAUGAAAUAAUAAAAAAAGAAGAUAUUUAAUUAAAAUACCGUUUAUCGAUGCUAUUAAACUCACCCCAAAAAAUUAUACAUAUCAAACAUCUUAAAACACUAGUUAACUAACAGCUUUAUUCCACAAUAAUAAAAUAGGCAUCCUUAUCUUUAAAAUAUACAAACUCACUUUCAGGGCCACUUUUGGUGCAUUUUGAAUUUCUGCUGACCCUUCUCUUGACUUUUGAUACCUAAAAAGAGAGGGUUGCUUUCUUCCUUUAUUUCAUUGUGCAUUCUUCUGAUUUUCUCAGGUUGGGUUGGAGGGACCUUAUCUGUUGCAUAUGGGGCAUGAUGGUUACAUGUAUCUUGGAGCUUGUGAUAUUUAUUUAGAGAGUGCAAAUGCUGAAUAUUUCGUUAGAGACAGUUUAGAUUUUGUUUGUGGGUGGAGUUGUGGGGAUCACCCAUAUACGUGUUGAAGCCACUAGUAUAUGCUGCUGCUACUUUUUGUUCCUCUUUUAUUUUCUUUCUUUGAUAUGAUAAAUAUCUGCCUAUGCUUAUGCCACCAUGUCCGAACCUAUACGGCUAAAUUAAAUGGGCUAAUUCUCAAGAAUCAAGAUGUGUUCCUACAUUUGGAGUAAAUAUUGUUUCAGUUGGUGAAAACAAUUAAUAACAACAACAUUAUUAGCCAAUGUGAUCUUUUUUAUUAGGUAUUGACAACAUACGUAUAACAAUUAACAAUUGGUGGGUGUUGUUAGAUGUUAAAUUUCAAUCUUAAUAAUGUUUUUACAUUAAACCUCAAUAAAAAAAAUUGUCACCUUUAAUAAUCUUAUCUUGUUCAAAUUUGAAUAAAGGAUCAAAUACAAAAAGAUUAAGUAGGACAAUCAUAUAGGAUAUAUUUUCAUCCAUCAAAUAACUUUAUUUAUUUAUUUAGGGUUUAUAUCUCUAAUUUAUUAUAUAUAUGUGUGUGGUUGAAUUGAUUAAAAAUAUAUUUUAUAUAAAAAAUUAUCAGUAUAUUUUGUAUAAAAGUAAUGAACUGUUCAGGAAUGAUAAGUCUUAAUUAAAUUGAGAAAUAUGUUCUGAUAAAAAAUUAAAAAAGGUGUAACCAACAACUUAUUGAUCCAAAUAAAAUUAAAUUUAAAUCUCUUAAAGUAAAGUGUUAAGUUUGAAUUUCAUAAAUAAAUAAAUAAAAAAUACAAUUGAAUCUCACGUUAUAAAAGAAAAAACAACACAUUAAAAUAUGUCGUCAUGCUUAAUUAUGAGGAUUUGUAUUUACAAUACAAAGUGUUUAAUGAUGAUUUUUUUUGUAGUAUUAAUGAUUAAUUUUAAAUGUAUUAGAAUUAUUUUGAAUAUAUAUAUGAUAAGUGGUUAGUAUCUAUUUAAGACCGUGGAGGAAUGUUGGUGGAAAUAAAUAGCUACUAACCUCACACUUUUGGUGCUGCAUGUUUUGUAUAUGGGUUUGGUACCCCUCGUACCUAAUUCAAUAUAACUUUGCUUUUUUUAAAAAAAAAACAUUACUAAUAUAAGUUUUCAAUGUAAAAUGCAUUAAUAUUUUCAUCAAAGUAGCCAAUUCUAUUUGAUUUUAAAAAAUAAUAAUUCUCAUUGGAUUAGUGUGUCCACUGUGAUAAUCUCAUACUCAUUAAUCAUCAUCGAUUACUUUUAAUUCAAUUUUAUUUAUUUUUUAUUUCUAAAACCUCUUGUAUUUGAAUAUUAUAUAAGUGUCCAAAUCAUCUUAAUUAAGUAAGUAAGGUAUACAAUUGUAAUAAUGAGGAUCGAAUUCAAAUCCUCAUAUAUCUACCCCAAUUCCUCUACCAUUAGGCUAGUCUAGUGGCUUAGCCUGUCAUCUUAAUCGAAUUGGUGCAAUAACAAAAUUCUUUCUUCUAAUUUUUUUAAGCAACAAAGUCAAAUCUCAAUUUAAGAAAAAAAAAACUAAGGAAUGCGCAAAAAUUUCACAUAUGCAAAUAAACGGGCUACUCAAAAACGUUUUACAGGUAGAUUAAAAGUAAAUUAAAAAAAAUUGUAACUAAUUAACAAAGUGUUCUGGUUAUAUCAUCUAUUACUACUUCAUUAGUUACUGGCUUUGUGCUACAGUCAUGCCCAUGCUCUUAUGCCUUGGUCGGGAGGAAGGAAAAUGGAUGAUUGAAAUCUCAAGCAUGCACUAGAGCAAGAACCUCUCAAUUAAUUUGCCUCCAUGAAACCACAUCAUUUAGAAUUAAUUCUCCUCAUCUUAAACAAGCCCAUGUUUUUGGUAGAUGUAGUGUCAAGAACACUCUUGUCCGUGAUAAUUGACACAUUUCGGACACUCAAGUUAAACACUUCAUAAGUGUUUUAGAACAUGUUUAGUUGUGUUGUAUGUGUGUUGGUUUGACAUGCUAGAAGUACAAAGAUGGAAUAAAAAAUCGAAAGGUAGAAUUACUGAAUUAGUGUGUAUUGGUUUUACUUUAAAAAAUUAAUUAUAAGUUUAGAAUUAAUUUUAAAUGUAUUUUUACAUGUUUGAUCUUAAGUUAGAAAAAAAUUUAGAAUUGAUUUUGAUUUAAAGUAAUUUAAGUAGCUUUUGUGUUGAAAUCGAAAAUUUACAUUGAAUUCUACUUCUAAUUUAAUUUUAUAAUGAAAAUAUCUAAAUAUAAAUUAUAUAAUUUCAAAAUUAAUUUGUAAAAUUAACUAUAUUCAAAAUUAAUUUUGUCAACACUCAUUCAAACAUAUAAUUAAUGGUAAUAGGGUUAUUCGAGCGUAACAGUAUGGCGUGGCUUUCUCAAAAAAAAAAAAUCAUUCAUGAACCCCAGUUCGAGUUACUUAAACACUAGACCAAUGCAGCACUACAAAUAACAUUAGUAUUAUAUAAAUGCAUUUUAUAAAUAAUGGUUUGGCGUUUGUUGUAAGGGUAUCAUAAUCAUUAUUCCUAGGAUAAUUAGCUAAUAGAGGAAUAAAUCGAAAGGUUUAUCGGUAGAUAAUAUCAAGUACUAUGUUUUACAAUGAAAGUUUUUCACGUUUUUUGAGAAUGAUCUUAAGGGUAAUAUAGUUAACAAAAUUAUUUUUAUAAUUAUUCAUAGAUGUAUUAUGAUGAUUAUUAAUUAUCUUACAUUUGAACUAAUCAAACAUGUGUUAUCUGUUUUUUUGGUUUCAUAUAGGAAAGCCAAAGACUUGGAAAAUGAAAAGAAAAAAAGGAUGUUUGGGUAAAUCAUCAAACUCAUGAGUCAUGACAUUAAGCUCACGAGUCACGACUCGAAAGACUACGAUCAACAUCACAAGAACUAUAAGCAAAUAGCAUAAAGUUAGACAUUUUAAUCACGUGAAAAUAGAAUUAGACCUUCUUUUUGCAAUUGGAGGAGAAACAUGUAUCUUCUUAGGUUUGCCUUUAGUGAAUCUAUGGCAUCGCUCCAAUCUAACUCUUCGUAGCUCAAAAUAUCAAAUACUUGUUAGAUGCAAAGCUUACAUAGCUAAAAAUAUCAUUUAUGAUUUGUACAGGAUUUUUUGGGUCACCAUGGUUCAUGAAAUUGAUAUGAAAUAUUCAUCUUUUAAUAAUUAAUUUUUGUCAAAGAAUAUGACUCACCACCUUUAAAGUAUGUUUGGUUUAGAUGAUGGAAAUGAAAAAGAUAGAAAUAUAAGAGAUUUUUUUUUUAAUUAAAGUUGAGUGUAGGAAAAGUGAGACCCAUACAAUUUCUUCUCUAUUUCUAUACCAGAUAAAUUAUCAAUUUGAACACCUAACGCAUAAUCUAACCUUUAAUGUUGUAUAUCCCUUCGACCAUAUACAUGCAUGUACUGAAUAACAACACCCUUCGACUAUCAUAAGGUAUAAGUGUCGAGUAUCCCUCGUCACUAAUUAUAGUUAAUGAACUCAUUUAAUGAUAAUUACCCAAUUAGAAAUACCUAAAUAAGGUUACGAAAUGUAUUACCUAAUUGGUAAUCAGUACAUGUAGGCUUGAAGGUCCAAAGCUCAAUAAGGUGAAAAGGUCAGUAUAAAAAGGAAAGAAUCAUCAGGUAAAAAGCACUGUUCAUUUGAAUAUACUCCUGACAUCAUUUAUGACUUUGAGUCAAACACUCACUUGGGUAUCGAAGUGUCUUUUGUAAGUAAUCUCCCUCUUCUUUGACUUAUACACUGAAGCAAAGGACAAGUCACCAAAAGAAUGAUCACUCGACACAGCAGAAGACCAUUCAGCUGAAGGGAUAGUAUCCGGUCUAUCUGAGACAGGAACAAUUUCUCUUCUUUCUCCGUCAACCAAACACGUCUAUAAUGAGAUCUUCUGUUCAACCAUUUUUUUUAUUCCGAAAGCUCGAAUCCAAAACAUUGUUUAAGAAAAUCUUUACCACUCGAACCAACAACAUAUUGAUUCAAUUGGAUUUAAAUAGUGAUUACUUACAAAAAUAUCAUAAUUUUAGAACCCAACUUCCCCAUUGGCGUUAGGAAUUUAAAUAUGUAGCAUUAAAGUAUUUUUUAUUAUUUAGUCUUUUAAGUUAUAUAGCCUGUGCUUUUAGUGCUAAUAAAGAAUUCAAAAAGUCAUAUUUUUGUUAAGUAAAGAUAUUAAAAAUGAAUAAGAACUCAUUGGAAAAGGGUCUUUAGUAAUUCACAAGAGAUUUCUCUUUCCUUUAAGAGAUUUUAUCAAUUAAAAAAUCAUGUUGGAAAAAUGGGUUAAAUUUUGCAAGUAUUGAUUAUCAAGUGUAUGAAUCAAUUGACAUAAAAUUAUUCUAAUUUGAUAUAAUUAACUUGAGUGAAAGACAUUUGUAGUCUAUAUAAAAAAAAAUGACUUGUAAAUAUUUCAAUAGAUUUUAAGGAGAAAAGUCAGUUGUUUCAAUCCUAUUGGCUUAAUUUUAUUAUCCAACCAUAUUCGUAUUCAAGUCAAAGUCAAUUCAAUAUUACUUUUCUUGCUAUAUGAGAGAAAGAAAAGUAGGAAAACUAAAAUCGACUACUUAAGUACUUGGAAGUUGAAAAGGAGUUUUUCAUAGCAUCAACCAACAGACCAUAAGAGAGACCCACAAACAGGGAGGAUGGCAAGUUUGUCCUUUUCAAAAUACCAAACCUAGCUUAGAAGUUAGCACAUGUAGUCCUUUUUUACGCUGUCUUUGGUUUAGUGAAUUGAAUAAGGAAGAAACGAAGAUAGACGAACAAUCAGCCUUUUAAAAUAUUUUCGAAUGGAAGACAAAUGGUUUGUUUAGAUAAAUUUUUCCUUAAGAACUUACAAGAGAAUAAAACAAAAAAGAAAAAA